rnacentral:rRNA from 1 species
UACGAAGGGUGCAAACGUUGCUCGGAAUCAUUGGGCGUAAAGCGCACGUAGGCGGCUUCGCAAGUCGGAUGUGAAAUCCCUCGGCUCAACCGAGGACGUGCAUACGAAACUGCAGAGCUUGAGUGCUGAAGAGGAUCGCGGAAUUCCCGGUGUAGAGGUGAAAUUCGUAGAUAUCGUGAGGAACACCUGUGGCGAAAGCGGCUCACUGGACCACAACUGACGCUGAGGCGCGAAAGCUAGGGGAGCAAACAGG